rnacentral:tRNA from 1 species
GCGGGUGUAGCUCAGUUGGCUAGAGCGCAACCUUGCCAAGGUUGAGGCCAGGGGUUCGAAUCCCCUUACCCGCUCCA